ACCGGCACGCCCUCCGGCUCGGAGUCGGACAACGUGGUGCUCAAGGCCGCCUGGUACGGCUCCGAGGCCCUCGGCAUCGCCGCGUCCUUCUUCCGGCCGCCGUCUCCGGAGGCGGACGCCGGCGCUGCAGGCGACGGCGCGUCAGAGUCCCAGCCGGUUGGCCGCGCGCAGGUCGCCGAGGCCAUCAAGGACGACUUCGCACGGUCAUACUUCGUCACAGGGAACCUGACGCUGGGAGCGUACGAAGACGACUGCGAGUUCGCCGACCCGGCGGGCUCAUUCAGAGGCCUGCAGCGCUUCAAGAGGAACUGCACCAACUUCGGGUCCCUGCUGGAGAAGUCCAACAUGAAGCUAACCAAAUGGGAGGAUGUCGAGGAGAAAUCGAUCGGGCACUGGCGUUUCAGCUGCGUCAUGUCGUUCCCGUGGAGGCCCAUUCUCUCCGCAACCGGGUACACGGAGUACUACUUCGAUGGUGAGUCGGGGAAGGUGUGCAGGCAUGUGGAGAACUGGAACGUCCCCAAGAUGGCGCUCCUGCGGCAGAUAUUCAGGCCCAGCAGAUGGGCAUGGGAGAAGGAGAAACGGUAA
rnacentral:rRNA from 1 species